CAACAUUUCGGUCGAUGGGCGAUGAGACUGCGAGCUCCGGGGUGAGGAAAGGUCACGGUUAGGUUAGGUUAGAUUUACUGUAGUUUGGUCAGGUCAGGUUACAGGUCACGGUUAGGUUAGGUUAGAUUUACCGUGGUUUGGUCAGGUCAGGUUACAGGUCAUGGUUAGGUUAGGUUAGAUUUACCGUGGUUUGGUCAGGUCAGGUUACAGGUCAUGGUUAGGUUAGGUUAGAUUUACUGUAGUUUGGUCAGGUCAGGUUACAGGUUCAGGGUUAGGUUAGGUUAGAUUUACUGUAGUUUGGUCAGGUCAGGUUACAGGUCACGGUUAGGUUAGGUUAGAUUUACUGUAGUUUGGUCAGGUCAGGUUACAGGUUCAGGUUAGGUUAGGUUAGAUUUACUGUAGUUUGGUCAGGUCAGGUUACAGGUCAUGGUUAGGUUAGGUUAGAUUUAUUGUGGUUUGGUCAGGUCAGGUUACAGGUCACGGUUAGGUUAGGAUUGGUAUUAGUAUUAGUAUUGGUAUUAGUAUUGGUAUUAGUAUUGGUAUUAGUAUUGGUAUUGGUAUUAGUAUUGGUAUUAGUAUUGGUAUUAGUAUUAGUAUUGGUAUAAGUAUUGGUAUUAGUAUUAGUAUUGGUAUUAGUAUUAGUAUUGGUAUUGGUAUUAGUAUUGGUAUUGGUAUUGGUAUUAGUAUUAGUAUUGGUAUUAGUAUUAGUAUUGGUAUUGGUAUUGGUAUUAGUAUUGGUAUUGGUAUUAGUAUUAGUAUUAGUAUUGGUAUUAGUAUUAGUAUUGGUAUUAGUGUUAGUAUUGGUAUUAGUAUUGGUAUUAGUGUUAGUAUUGGUAUUAGUAUUGGUAUUAGUAUUAGUAUUGGUAUUAGUACUGGUAUAAUCUUUGACCAUGGCACAAUCUUAAGUGAAAUAAGUAUUUAUAUUUAUAUUUUUCAAAGUAAAACAAAGUAAUUUAGAGUCGAUAUGUUCUGUGACAAGAGUGUUUAGGAGUUAGUUAAAAAUGAGAUCAUAUGAAAUUAUAUAUAUGAGAAUACAUUGGUUAAUAUUCGUAUAAUCUUUAACCAAGGCACAAUCUUAAGUGAAAUAAGCAUUUAUAUUUAUUUCUUUAAGUAAAACAAAGUAAUUUCGAGUCUAUAUGUUCUGUGACGAGAGUGUUUAGGAGUUAGUUAAAAAUGAGAUCAUAUGAAAUUAUAUAUAUGAGAAUACAUCGGUUAAUAUUCGUAUAAUCUGAGUGAAAUAAGCAUUUAUAUUUAUUUCUUUAAGUAAAACAAAGUAAUUUAGAGUUGGUAUGUUCUGUGACAAGAGUGUUUAGGAGUUAUAGAUAAAAAUGAGAUCAUAUGAAAUUAUAUAUAUGAGAAUACAUCGGUUAAUAUUCGUAUAAUCUGAGUGAAAUAAGCAUUUAUAUUUAUUUCUUUAAGUAAAACAAAGUAAUUUAGAGUUGAUAUGUUCUGUGACAAGAGUGUUUAGGAGUUAUAGAUAAAAAUGAGAUCAUAUGAAAUUAUAUAUAUGAAUACCUCGGUUAAUAUUCGUAUAAUCUGAGUGAAAUAAGCAUUUAUAUUUAUUUCUUUAAGUAAAACAAAGUAAUUUCGAGUCUAUAUGUUCUGUGACAAGUGUGUUUAGGUUAGUUAAAAAUGAGAUCAUAUGAAAUUAUAUA